AGAGUUUGAUCCUGGCUCAGGAUGAACGCUGGCGGCGUGCCUAAUACAUGCAAGUCGAACGCUUCACUUCGGUGAAGAGUGGCGAACGGGUGAGUAAUACAUAAGUAACCUGGCAUCUACAGGGGGAUAACUGAUGGAAACGUCAGCUAAGACCGCAUAGGUGUAGAGAUCGCAUGAACUCUAUAUGAAAAGUGCUACGGGACUGGUAGAUGAUGGACUUAUGGCGCAUUAGCUGGUUGGUAGGGUAACGGCCUACCAAGGCGACGAUGCGUAGCCGACCUGAGAGGGUGACCGGCCACACUGGGACUGAGACACGGCCCAGACUCCUACGGGAGGCAGCAGUAGGGAAUUUUCGGCAAUGGGGGAAACCCUGACCGAGCAACGCCGCGUGAAGGAAGAAGUAAUUCGUUAUGUAAACUUCUGUCAUAGAGGAAGAACGGUGGAUAUAGGGAAUGAUAUCCAAGUGACGGUACUCUAUAAGAAAGCCACGGCUAACUACGUGCCAGCAGCCGCGGUAAUACGUAGGUGGCGAGCGUUAUCCGGAAUUAUUGGGCGUAAAGAGGGAGCAGGCGGCACUAAGGGUCUGUGGUGAAAGAUCGAAGCUUAACUUCGGUAAGCCAUGGAAACCGUAGAGCUAGAGUGUGUGAGAGGAUCGUGGAAUUCCAUGUGUAGCGGUGAAAUGCGUAGAUAUAUGGAGGAACACCAGUGGCGAAGGCGACGAUCUGGCGCAUAACUGACGCUCAGUCCCGAAAGCGUGGGGAGCAAAUAGGAUUAGAUACCCUAGUAGUCCACGCCGUAAACGAUGAGUAAUAAGUGUUGGGGGGUCAAAGCUCAGGGCUGCAGUUAACGCAAUAAGUAUUCCGCCCGAGUAGUACGUUCGCAAGAAGAAAACUCAAAGGAAUGGACGGGGGCCCGCCCAAGCGGUGGAGCAUGUGGUUUAAUUGGAAGCAACGCGAAGAACCUUACCAGGUCUUGACAUCGAUCUAAAGGCUCCAGAGAUGGAGAGAUAGCUAUAGAGAAGACAGGUGGGGCAUGGUGGUCGUCAGCUCGUGUCGUGAGAUGUUGGGUUAAGUCCCGCAACGAGCGCAACCCCUGUUGCCAGUUGCCAGCAUUAAGUUGGGGACUCUGGCGAGACUGCCGGUGACAAGCCGGAGGAAGGCGGGGAUGACGUCAAAUCAUCAUGCCCCCUAUGACCUGGGCUACACACGUGCUACAAUGGACAGAGCAGAGGGAAGCGAAGCCGCGAGGUGGAGCGAAACCCAUAAAACUGUUCUCAGUUCGGACUGCAGUCUGCAACUCGACUGCACGAAGAUGGAAUCGCUAGUAAUCGCGAAUCAGCAUGUCGCGGUGAAUAAAAUCUCGGGCCUUGCACUCACCGCCCGUCA
rnacentral:rRNA from 1 species